GGUAUUUUGACUAUACGAAGGUAUUGAAAUAAGGUUUUUAUUGGAUGCUAAGAGAAUGGUUAUACAGGGAUUGACUUUCUUGUGAUUUAAAAUAGAAUUUGAUUUAAAAGUGAAAAAGCUUUUAUGUUUUUUUGGGACAAGAAGACCCUAUGAAUUUUUUUUAUAAUGUUGUUUGGUAUUUAUUAAAAUAAAUAAAAUAUUUUUAUAAAUUGAUUGGGGUGAUUUUUAAAAUGAAUAACUUUAAAAUAGAAGGAAUUAGAACCAAAAAUUUUGGUUAAUUGAAUAAAAUACUCUAGGGAUAACAGCGUAAUUAUUUUGGAUAGUUCAUAUAGAUAAAAUAGUUUGCGACCUCGAUGUUGGAUUAAGAUACUUAUAUAAUGUAGCAGUUAUAUUAAGGAGUUUGCUCAACUUUUGAAAUCUU
rnacentral:rRNA from 1 species